rnacentral:rRNA from 1 species
GAUGAACGCUGACAGAAUGCUUAACACAUGCAAGUCAACUUGAACUUCGGUUUGGGUGGCGGACGGGUGAGUAACGCGUAAAGAACUUGCCUCACAGUUAGGGACAACAUUUGGAAACGAAUGCUAAUACCUGAUAUUAUGAUUUUAGGGCAUCCUAGAAUUAUGAAAGCUAUAUGCGCUGUGAGAGAGCUUUGCGUCCCAUUAGCUAGUUGGAGAGGUAACGGCUCACCAAGGCGAGGAUGGUUAGCCGGCCUGAGAGGGUGAACGGCCACAAGGGGACGGAGACACGGCCCUUACUCAUACGGGAGGGAGGAGUGGGGAAUAUAGGACGAUGGACCAAGAGACUGAUCCAGCAAUUAUGUGUGGACGAUGAAGUUUUUCGGAAUGUAGAGUGCUUUCAGUUGAGGAGAAAAAAAUGACGAUACCAACAGAAGAAGCGACGGCUAAAUACGUG